rnacentral:misc_RNA from 1 species
AUUGUGUAACUGAAGGUAUUCUCUUACAUUUAAAAGAAAGGGAAAAAAGAGUUAACUCAGGAGGAAAAAUUCUAAAAAUAGAUGCAACCUAGGAGAAAAAAGACUGGUUUAACUUAACUUAGAUUAGCUUUACUGAAAUAAACUAGGAGAACUAAAGAACGAAAGGAAAGAGUGAAAUACUCUUUUCAAUUAUACUUGCCUUAGUAUUAGGAACCUGCAGGGUAUUUGUUUUGUUUUCUGUACUGUAUUUUAUAUGUGUGUUUUGCAUUCAGUAAAUUGCCGGCCUUUUGUACUUAGAGCAACGGUCUCUGGUGUGAUUAUUCUUGCUUCCCACUCCUUAGAACCUAGAACUGGUCCAGUGGCGCAGUAAGUGGGGUGAUACCGGUGCUACAAAUUCAAUUAAAUUUUAUUUGUAUAGCGCCAAAUGAUAAUAUACAUUAUCUCAAGGAGCUUUACAUAGAAGGUCAAGACAUUAAAAUAUUGUUUGAUAUAGAGAAACCUAACAGUUCCCACAAUG